GAUGGUCUCGCGUCCCAUUAGCUAGUUGGCGGGGUAAUGGCCCACCAAGGCGACGAUGGGUAGCUGGUCUGAGAGGAUGGUCAGCCACACUGGGACUGAGAUACGGCCCAGACUCCUACGGGAGGCAGCAGUCGAGAGGCUUCGGCAAUGGGGGAAACCCUGACCGAGCGACGCCGCGUGGGGGGUGAAGGCCCUUGGGUUGUAAACCCCUUUUAUUCGGGAAGAAAUGUGAUCAGGUGAAUAAUCUGGUCAUUUGACGGUACCGGAUGAAUAAGCUCCGGCUAACUCCGUGCCAGCAGCCGCGGUAACACGGGGGGAGCAAGCGUUGUUCGGAAUCACUGGGCGUAAAGGGCGUGUAGGCGGUCAGGUAAGUGGGAUGUGAAAUGCCCCGGCUCACCCGGGGACCGGCGUCUCAUACUGCUUGGCUUGAGUACGGGAGAGGAUGUGGGAAUUCCUGGUGUAGCGGUGAAAUGCGUAGAUAUCAGGAGGAACACCGGUGGCGAAGGCGCACAUCUGGCCCGAUACUGACGCUGAGGCGCGAAAGCUAGGGGAGCAAACGGGAUUAGAU
rnacentral:rRNA from 1 species